UUCAGCCCACAUGUCACUGCUUGGGAUUGCCGAGUGACGGUGCCAGUUCACACCCAAGUCUGGUGGCUUCGAUAUGUCAUACCUUUCUCAUUCCAGUGGGCUGGAAGCCCGCAAGCCCUGCUCAGAACUGUAGUUUGCACUAAACAGUGGGUCAGUUGGGAAUUAAGUACUAAUUAUUAAAGUCUUUCUGCCUUCCUAAAGUAAUUUGUUUUUUCAUCCCACAUAUGGGUGGAGAUACAGUGUGAAAUUUUUCAGACUGAACAGAUUCUGAAGUAGCCCCUCCAGGAGCGUGUCAGAUCACAUGGAGCGGGGAGAUGACUGCACAUCACAGACAUAGGACGUAUUUAGAUAUGAGCAAUCGGAAAUUCAUGGACAUUGCUGUAGAUGUGCUGCUUUGGGGAACAACAGUAAGGAAUGCUGCUACUUAAAGAAAACGCAAGUGUUCUCCAGUGCCAGAAAGGUCUUGAGGUGUCAGCACCGUAAGCCCUGCACCGGCAGUGACAGCACCACAAGGAAUGGCUGCAAACGCAGCAUAAAUUUACACUGCAUUUGUUUCCCAAUCACCUUUGAGAAGUGUUGGUAAAACAUCCCAUGGAACCUACUGCCGCCUCUUUACCUUUCUCUAACAUGAUAGAAAAUCGCUGUUAUCAUUACAAAUUAUUAUUUACAUUGUGGUAGGUUGUAGAAAUCCUGGUCGUGGAUAUGUACAACCUUGCAUUGAGAGCUGUGCAAUGGAGAGUGUUUUCACCAACUUUAAAAUCAGGUAAAAAGAGGGUCAUUAAUACUAUUUUUUGCAAGCAUAUAUAAGUAAAACAAGUCACACUGAUACAUUAAGCAAAAUAUGUGAGACAUUUCAAUUCUGCCAUCCAAACUGUUAACAAAUUCAGGGGGUUUAUUGCUUAAGACCCAUAAUUUUCCUGUAGAUUUAACUUUAAUUCUGUUGUGUUUUCUGUAUGAAUUAGUGUUUUAUUUAUGGAAAUCUCUGAUGCAUCAUGUUGUUCUUAAACAAAAAA
rnacentral:lncRNA from 1 species